AAUCAACGCUGGCGGCGUGCCUCAGACAUGCAAGUCGAACGAUUAAACUUCCCUUCGGGGAAGAUAUAAAGUGGCGCACGGGUGAGUAACACGUAGGUAAUGUACCUUUGGGUGGGGAAUAACUUAGGGAAACUUAAGCUAAUACCGCAUAAUGCAGCGGCUCCUUCGGGAGACAGUUGUUAAAGAUUUAUCGCCUAAAGAGCAGCCUGCGGCAGAUUAGCUAGUUGGUAAGGUAACGGCUUACCAAGGCUACGAUCUGUAUCCGACCUGAGAGGGUGGUCGGACACACUGACACUGAAUAACGGGCCAGACUCCUACGGGAGGCAGCAGUCGGGAAUUUUGGGCAAUGGGCGAAAGCCUGACCCAGCAACGCCGCGUGAAGGAUGAAGUCUUUCGGGAUGUAAACUUCGUAAGAAUAGGAAGAAUAAAUGACGGUACUAUUUGUAAGGUCCGGCUAACUACGUG
rnacentral:rRNA from 1 species